GCCUGGAAUUAAUGAAUUUGCCAAGACUAGCUGGCCAACCAGCUCCGGUCCCCACUGUUUCCCCAGAGCUAGGCUUACAGAUAGGUGCCAUCCAGCCUGGUCUUUUCAUGGGUACUUGAAAUUUGAACUCAGACCCCCAUGCUUGUACAUCAAACACUUUAUUGUCAGCCAUCUAUCCCCCCAGUUGGGAGCCUAAACAUCUUCUGUGGAGUCUGGACCUCUAGGGAGUUACAAAGGUUCACUUGUCAAGCAUUUUCUCAGUAUGAAGAUACAGUUCACCAUGGCUGGAAGGCAAGACAGUAGGAGCAUGAGGGAGCUGCUCACCCUGCAUCUGCAGUCAGGAAGCCAGGAGAGAGCGGGGAAUGCUGGCCCUCAGCUACCUCGUUCCUCUUCCCACUUGUUCAGCACAAGAUCCCAGCCCAUGAGAUGCUGCCACUCAUGUUCAGGUUCAUGGAGUCAUCCACACAUGAAUCCUGGCUCUUAAGGGAUGAGGGAGUAGAGGCAGGACGAUCAUCUUCAACAACUCUAUAGAUUCAGCUGUAUAUCUAGCCUGACGGUUUGGGUUUUCAGAUGGCACAAACAGGAAGAUGGGUAGAAAUAUGGGCACACUGUGGAUUCAUGAGCAAUUACAUUGUGGGAAACCUGUGAAAAUUGUGUCUUGGUGGUUCUAGUUUACUCAUUAAUAUAAUAAACAAACUGUGGGCUGAA